rnacentral:rRNA from 1 species
AUUGAACGCUGGCGGCAGGCUUAACACAUGCAAGUCGAGUGGUAACAGAGAGAAGCUUGCUUCUCUGCUGACGAGCGGCGGACGGGUGAGUAAUGCCUAGGAAUCUGCCUAGUAGUGGGGGAUAACUUGCCGAAAGGUAAGCUAAUACCGCAUACGUCCUACGGGAGAAAGGAGGGGACCUUCGGGCCUUUCGCUAUUAGAUGAGCCUAGGUCGGAUUAGUUAGUUGGUGAGGUAAUGGCUCACCAAGACCGCGAUCCGUAACUGGUCUGAGAGGAUGAUCAGUCACACUGGAACUGAGACACGGUCCAGACUCCUACGGGAGGCAGCAGUGGGGAAUAUUGGACAAUGGGGGGAACCCUGAUCCAGCCAUGCCGCGUGUGUGAAGAAGGUCUUAGGAUUGUAAAGCACUUUAAGUUGGGAGGAAGAGCAGUUAACUAAUAUUUGACUGUUUUGACGUUACCGACAGAAUAAGCACCGGCUAACUCCGUGCCAGCCGCCGCAGUAA